rnacentral:rRNA from 1 species
GAUGAGCGCUGGCGGCGUGCUUAACACAUGCAAGUCGAACGGUGAAGCCAAGCUUGCUUGGUGGAUCAGUGGCGAACGGGUGAGUAACACGUGAGCAACCUGCCCUGGACUCUGGGAUAAGCGCUGGAAACGGCGUCUAAUACUGGAUAUGAGCUCUCAUCGCAUGGUGGGGGUUGGAAAGAUUUUUCGGUCUGGGAUGGGCUCGCGGCCUAUCAGCUUGUUGGUGAGGUAAUGGCUCACCAAGGCGUCGACGGGUAGCCGGCCGGAGAGGGUGACCGGCCACACUGGGACUGAGACACGGCCCAGACUCCUACGGGAGGCAGCAGUGGGGAAUAUUGCACAAUGGGCGGAAGCCUGAUGCAGCAACGCCGCGUGAGGGAUGACGGCCUUCGGGUUGUAAACCUCUUUUAGCAGGGAAGAAGCGAGAGUGACGGUACCUGCAGAAAAAGCGCCGGCUAACUACGUGCCAGCCGCCGCCGUAACAC